rnacentral:rRNA from 1 species
GUAGAGAUACAGCAGGCCGCUUGCGGUCUGUAUACAGGUGCUGCAUGGCUGUCGUCAGCUCGUGCUGUGAAGUGUUGGGUUAAGUCCCGCAACGAGCGCAACCCUAUCAUCUGUUGCCAGCAUUUAAGGUGGGGACUCAGAUGAGACUGCCGGUGGACAAACCGGAGGAAGGUGGGGACGACGUCAAGUCAUCAUGGCCCUUAUGUCCUGGGCUACACACGUGCUACAAUGACCGGUACAGAGUGAAGCGAAACCGCGAGGUGAAGCAAAACGCAGAAAGCCGGUCUCAGUACGGAUUGGAGUCUGAAACUCGACUUCAUGAAGUUGGAAUCGCUAGUAAUCGCGCAUCAGCAUGGCGCGGUGAAUACGUUCCCGGGCCUU